ensembl:antisense Gm4577 predicted gene 4577
AGGUGAGCUCUAUCUAACUUCCGCUCACCUCCAGGUUCUCCUGAGUUUCAGUCUCCCUAGGCACACGCCUUUGGGGAUCCAGGUCUGAGGCCGAUGAAGCCUCCCGGCUUUGUCCAAGCUCCAGCCUCGGGGGCCCAAGAGCAGCUGCCCUGGCCAGCUGCGGCUGGCUUCAAGGUGACCAUGGCAACCCAGCUCUGCUCCCCUCGCUGAGCCUCUCAGCCCCCGCAGAGAGGGAGGGGACAGCCUAACCCAGAGAAAGGGAGGGGAGGCUGAGAACUAUGGAACGGGACCAAAGGGGUCUCCCAAACAAAGAGACCCCAGACAAAGAGACCCCCCAGACAAAAGCCACUGAGGAGGAGGCCCGGUCGAAAGCAGCGUUCGCUGGCUGCUGCCAAGAGCUUAGAGAUGAGUUCAUCCUGCCUAACAGAGGACAAGAAACCUUGAAGAUUAUGGAAAACAUGUUUGGGUCGUGUAUAAAUGACAUCACCUGCACGGUUGCACCUGACCUGUGUGUUGCUUUCAUGCCAAGUGAAAGCCCCAAGGCCAGUACUAAUAUUUCUUGGCAAUUUGGAUCGACCUGAGCCAGGAAGAACUGAGUCAUCACCGGGCUCACCAUGCAGUACAACAUUGUACCUUGUUCAAAGGAAACUAGCAUGGGGCGGAGUUCAUGUUGCAGCUGCAACUCUGUUUCAGAAAAACAAUGCUAUCCAAGUUGC